rnacentral:rRNA from 1 species
UACGUAGGGACCAAGCGUUGUUCGGAUUUACUGGGCGUAAAGGGCGCGUAGGCGGCAAUUCAAGUCAUCUGUGAAAUCUCCGAGCUUAACUCGGAACGGUCAGAUGAUACUGUUUUGCUAGAGUACAGAAGGGGCAAUCGGAAUUCUUGGUGUAGUGGUGAAAUGCGUAGAUAUCAAGAGGAACACCUGAGGUGAAGACGGGUUGCUGGGCUGAUACUGACGCUGAGGCGCGAAAGCUAGGGUAGCAAACGGG